GACAGAGGGUGCAAACGUUGUUCGGAUUUACUGGGCGUAAAGGGCGCGUAGGCGGACAGUUUAGUCAGAGGUGAAAGCCCAGGGCUCAACCUUGGAAUUGCCUUUGAUACUGGCUGUCUUGAGUUCGGGAGAGGUGAGUGGAAUGCCGAGUGUAGAGGUGAAAUUCGUAGAUAUUCGGCGGAACACCAGUGGCGAAGGCGACUCACUGGCCCGAUACUGACGCUGAGGCGCGAAAGCGUGGGGAGCAAACAGG
rnacentral:rRNA from 1 species